rnacentral:rRNA from 1 species
UACAGAGGUCUCAAGCGUUGUUCGGAAUCACUGGGCGUAAAGCGUGCGUAGGCUGUUUCGUAAGUCGUGUGUGAAAGGCGCGGGCUCAACCCGCGGACGGCACAUGAUACUGCGAGACUAGAGUAAUGGGAGGGGGAACCGGAAUUCUCGGUGUAAGCAGUGAAAUGCGUAGAUAUCGAGAGGAACACUCGUGGCGAAGGCGGGUUCCUGGACAUUAACUGACGCUGAGGCACGAAGGCCAGGGGAGCGAAAGGG